CUUUCUCAAUUGCAUCCUCCACAUUUCCACACUGUACUGCCUUCUUAACAGCCAUGCGAUCGGUGAUUGUUGCAAGAUCUAUAUCUGGCUCAGUUCCAGAUUCCAUCCGGAAUUUCUCAGCAGCAUCAACAUAGCCCUCAGUGACGAGAAAGUUCAUCACCAAUUUAUUCAUGUCUUCUUUCCUGAUCUUCACAUCAUUGAGCUUCUUUUCCCACUCUUCUCUUGUAAUCACCUUUUUUGAUGUACCCAUUGCGUCGGACUCUGCAAGUUGACGAAUCACAAUCCAGAACAGUGACAUCAGUGCACGACCACCAUCAAGCCCAUCGAUAGCCCAAAAUCAGGACGUCCGCUAAUCCCAGAGAAAAAUUGUAUAAAAAAAAAAAAAAAACCUAAUUCUAUCAGAGCAGAUAUGUGAGUGGAGACCGCAAUUCUAAACGAAAUGACUCCGGAAGAGAAUACGAAACGGUAUCGUGAGAGAUCACGUUUUCGUGGAGUGUUAGUUAAAUCGACUUUCGAUGCUUUGCUUCUUCGUGAAAUUAUUGCCAGCGCAGCUAGCUCUCUCUGUGAC
rnacentral:misc_RNA from 1 species